UACGUAGGCAGCGAGCGUUGUUCGGAGUUACUGGGCGUAAAGAGUGUGUAGGCGGUGUUCUAAGUUUGUCGUGAAAUCUCCCGGCUUAACUGGGAGGGUGCGGCGAAAACUGGAAUGCUAGAGGAUGGGAGAGGUAAGCGGAAUUCCUGGUGUAGCGGUGAAAUGCGUAGAUAUCAGGAGGAACACCUGUGGUGUAGACAGCUUACUGGACCAUUUCUGACGCUGAGACACGAAAGCGUGGGUAGCAAACAGG
rnacentral:rRNA from 1 species